GCAUUUGAAACUGGCAGGCUAGAGUCUUGUAGAGGGGGGUAGAAUUUCAGGUGUAGCGGUGAAAUGCGUAGAGAUCUGAAGGAAUACCAGUGACGAAGGCGGCCCCCUGGACAAAGACUGACGCUCAGAUGCGAAAGCGUGGGUAGCAAACAGGAUUAGAUACCCUGGUAGUCCACGCCGUAAACGCUGUCUACUUGGAGGUUGAGGUUUAGACUUUGGCUUUCGGCGCUGACGCAUUAAGUAGACCGCCUGGGGAGUACGGCCGCAAGGUUAAAACUCAAAUGAAUUGACGGGGGCCCGCACAAGCGGUGGAGCAUGUGGUUUAAUUCGAUGCAACGCGAAGAACCUUACCUACUCUUGACAUCCAGUGAACUUUCCAGAGAUGGAUUGGUGCCUUCGGGAACACUGAGACAGGUGCUGCAUGGCUGUCGUCAGCUCGUGUUGUGAAAUGUUGGGUUAAGUCCCGCAACGAGCGCAACCCUUAUCCUUGUUUGCCAGCACGUAAUGGUGGGAACUCCAGGGAGACUGCCGGUGAUAAACCGGAGGAAGGUGGGGGCGACGUCAAGUCAUCAUGGCCCUUACGAGUAGGGCUACACACGUGCUACAAUGGCAGAUACAGAGGGCAGCGAAGCUGCGAAGUGGAGCGAAUCCCUUAAAGUCUGUCGUAGUCCGGAUUGGAGUCUGCAACUCGACUCCAUGAAGUCGGAAUCGCUAGUAAUCGUGGAUCAGAAUGCCACGGUGAAUACGUUCCCGGGCCUUGUACACACCGCCCGU
rnacentral:rRNA from 1 species